UACGGAGGGUCCAAGCGUUAUCCGGAUUCAUUGGGUUUAAAGGGUGCGCAGGCGGGCUUGUAAGUCAGUGGUGAAAUCUUGCCGCUUAACGGUAAAACUGCCAUUGAUACUGCAAGUCUUGAAUAUGGUUGAGGUAGGCGGAAUGUGUUGUGUAGCGGUGAAAUGCAUAGACAUGACACAGAACGCCGAUUGCGAAGGCAGCUUACUAAGCCAUUAUUGACGCUGAGGCACGAAAGCGUGGGGAGCGAACAGG
rnacentral:misc_RNA from 1 species